CACGUAGGAGGCGAGCGUUUGUCCGGAAUCAUUGGGCGUAAAGAGCGCGCAGGCGGCUUGGCAAGUCGGGUGUGAAAUCCCGGGGCUCAACCCCCGUGACUGCAUCCGAUACUGUCAGGCUAGAGGUAGGUAGGGGAGAUCGGAAUUCCUGGUGUAGCGGUGAAAUGCGCAGAGUAUCAGGAGGAACACCGGUGGCGAAGGCAGCUCUCUGGGACGGUACUGACGCUGAGACGCGAAAGCGUGGGGAGCGAACAGG
rnacentral:rRNA from 1 species